AUUGAACGCUGGCGGAAUGCUUUACACAUGCAAGUCGAACGGCAGCACGGACUUCGGUCUGGUGGCGAGUGGCGAACGGGUGAGUAAUGUAUCGGAACGUGCCCAGUCGUGGGGGAUAACGUAGUGAAAAUUACGCUAAUACCGCAUACGAUCUAUGGAUGAAAGCGGGGGAUCGCAAGACCUCGCGCGAUUGGAGCGGCCGAUAUCAGAUUAGGUAGUUGGUGGGGUAAAGGCCCACCAAGCCAACGAUCUGUAGCUGGUCUGCGAGGACGACCAGCCACACUGGAACGGAGACCCGGUCCAGACUCCGACGGGAGGCAGCAGUGGGGAAUUUUGGACAAUGGGCGAAAGCCUGAUCCAGCCAUUCCGCGUGCAGGAUGAAGGCCCUCGGGUUGUAAACUGCUUUUGUACAGAACGAAAAGGUUUCUACUAAUACUAGGAGCUCAUGACGGUACUGUAAGAAUAAGCACCGGCUAACUACGUGCCAGCAGCCGCCGUAA
rnacentral:rRNA from 1 species